rnacentral:rRNA from 1 species
UACGAAGGGUGCAAACGUUGCUCGGAAUUAUUGGGCGUAAAGCGCACGUAGGCGGCUCAGUAAGUCGGGUGUGAAACCCUCAGGCUCAACCUGGGGACGCCACCCGAUACUGCUGUGGCUAGAGUCCAGUAGGGGAGUGUGGAAUUCCCGGUGUAGCGGUGAAAUGCGCAGAUAUCGGGAAGAACACCCGUGGCGAAGGCGGGUCUCUGGGCCGAUACUGACGCUGAGGAGCGAAAGCGUGGGGAGCGAACAGGG